CCGCUAACCUAGAUCCCACAAAAGGUGUUGGUUCAUUAAGACAGCAGGACGGUGGCCAUGGAAGUCGGAAUCCGCUAAGGAGUGUGUAACAACUCACCUGCCGAAUGAACUAGCCCUGAAAAUGGAUGGCGCUCAAGCGUACUACCAAUACCUCGCCGCUAGGGUAGAAACGAUGCCCUAGCGAGUAGGCAGGCGUGGAGGCCCGUGACGAAGCCUUGGGGGUGACCCCGGGUCGAACGGCCUCUAGUGCAGAUCUUGGUGGUAGUAGCAAAUACUCAAAUGAGAACUUUGAGGACUGAAGUGGGGAAAGGUUCCGUGUGAACAGCAGUUGGACACGGGUUAGUCGAUCCUAAGCCAUAGGGAAACUCCGUUUUAAAGUGCGCUCUCGGGCGCCGCCUGGCGAAAGGGAAACCGGUUAAUAUUCCGGUACCUCGAUGUGGAUUAUCCGCGGCAACGCAACUGAAGGUGGAGACGUCGGCGGGGGCCCCGGGAAGAGUUCUCUUUUCUUCUUAACUGUCUGUCACCCUGAAAUCGGUUUGUCCGGAG
rnacentral:rRNA from 13 species